UAGGAGUGUUUCCAAGUUUUAAAAUUAGCAUUCCUGCAGGAAUGUCUCCAAGUCUUAAAUUUAGCAUUUCAGUGGAUAUAUUAACGUUGUGUUUAAUUGUUCUACUUCACCUGCCUGAGACUGUAGCAGUGAAAAAGACCCAGGCUGUGUGUCCAGGUGACACUGGACAUUGCAAGAGCGAACCCCAAACUGACACUGUUGUGACCCCCAUUUGAACAGAGGCUUUUCUCAUCCAAGCAAACCAUGGUACCAGAAGCUAAUUCAGCCUGUGGCUGUGGAGAGGAACACCCUGAGAAUACCUGGGAUGG